GCUUGUCUCAAAGAUUAAGCCAUGCAUGUCUUAGUGUAAAUAACUCUUAUGAAACUGCGAAUGGCUCAUUAAAUCAGUUAUCGUUUAUUUGAUGGUCCCUUACUACAUGGAUAACCGUAGUAAUUCUAGAGCUAAUACAUGCACAAAGGCCCGACUCACGAAGGGCUGUAUUUAUUAGAUAAAGCCAACGCUGGGUAAAACCAGUUUCCCUUGGUGAUUCAUAAUAAUUAAGCGGAUCGCAUGGCCUUGUGCUAGCGACAGUCCACUCGAUUUUCUGCCCUAUCAUGGUUGAGAUUGUAAGAUAGAGGCUUACAAUGCCUACAACGGGUAACGGGGAAUUAGGGUUCGAUUCCGGAGAGGGAGCCUGAGAAACGGCUACCACAUCCAAGGAAGGCAG
rnacentral:rRNA from 1 species